GAUGAAGAACGUAGCGAAAUGCGAUACUUGGUGUGAAUUGCAGAAUCCCGUGAACCAUCGAGUCUUUGAACGCAAGUUGCGUCCGAAGCCAUUAGGCCGAGGGCACGCCUGCCUGGGCGUCACACGUCGUUGCCCCCCCAUCUACUCCUUCGGGAUUGCGGGGGGCGGAUGAUGGCCUCCCGUGCGCCUCGUCGCGCGGUUGGCAUAAAUGCCAAGUCCUCGGCGACGCACGCCACGACAAUCGGUGGUUGCGAAACCUCGGUUGCCCGUCGUGUGCGGUCGUCGCGCAUCGAGGGCUCGAAAAAAUUGCCGGGCUCCGGCUCGGCUUUCAACGCGACCCCAGGUCAGGCGGGGUUACCCGCUGAAUUUAAGCAUAUCAAUAAGCGGAGGA
rnacentral:misc_RNA from 1 species